rnacentral:misc_RNA from 1 species
GGAGACCGAGAGAGGGUCUCAGUUUUAGAGCUAGAAAUAGCAAGUUAAAAUAAGGCUAGUCCGUUAUCAACUUGAAAAAGUGGCACCGAGUCGGUG